GACGAACGCUGGCGGCGUGCCUAAUACAUGCAAGUCGAACGCAGUGGGGACGGGUGAGUAACACGUGGGUAACCUCCCAUCAGAGGGGAUAACACUUGGAAACAGGUGCUAAACCCAUACUGAUGGAUGGACCCGCGGGUCAGUAGCUAGUUGGGGAGGUCACGGCUCACCAGGGCCACGAUGCAUAGCCGACCGGAGAGGGUGAACGGCCACACGGGGACUGAGACACGGCCCAGACUCCUACGGGAGGCAGCAGUAGGGAAUCUUCGGCAAUGGACGAAAGUCUGACCGAGCAACGCCGCGUGAGUGAAGAAGGUUUUCGGAUCGUAAAGCUCUGUUGGUAGAGAAGCGGUAUCUAACCAGAAAGCCACGGCUAACUACGUGCCAGCCGCCGCGGUAAUUC
rnacentral:rRNA from 1 species